rnacentral:lncRNA from 1 species
CACAUGGUACAGCUGCCACCACUGUCCACCCCCACAGCUCUGCAUCUUGUCAAACUGCAGUCUCUUCCUGUUAGAGAGUAACUCCCCACUUUCCACUCCCUGCAUCCCUGGGCAUCCUUCAUCCACUUUCUGCCUCUCUGAAAAUUUUUUUUUUUUCUUUUUUGGCCACCCCGAGACAUUUGUGGUUCCUGGGCCAGGGCUCAGAUACGAGCCACAGUGGUGAUGAGCACUGCGGCUGUGGCAAUGCUGGAUCCUUAACCCACUGUGCCAGGCCAGGAGUCAAACCUGCAUUCCAGCUCCAGAGACGCCACUGAUCCCAUUGUGCCAUAGCAGGAACUCCUGCCUCUCUGAUUUUGCCUCUUCUAGGUCCCUCAGUUGUAGAAGUCAGUCAUGCAUUAUUUGUCCUUUUAUCUCGGACUUAUUCCACGUAAAAAAAAUGUCCUCAAUAUUCAUAGUGUUUGUGAGAAUUUCUUUCCUUUUUACGGCUGAAUGAGGCCCAUUGUAUGGAUGCAGCACAUCUGCUGCUCUGACCACCCCCGGUGGACGCCCAAGUUUCCUCCACACUGUACAUGAAUGAGUAACGCUGCUGUGAGCACAGGUGUACGAAGGAACAGGUAUUUUAUAAUCAAGUUUUUCAAAAGAGCAAAUGCAGAAAAGCCUGUGGAAGCCUAGUCAUCUAUUUUGAUUUUGUGCUUUCUCUCUCUUUUUUUUUUUUUAAUUUGCUUUCUAGGGCCGCAACCAAGGCAUAUGGAGGUUCCCAGAAAAAAAAGAGAGAAACAGAUCAUCUUUAUGUAAAGGGAGCUUGAAGGAAUGGGAGGUUCCACACUCCUGCGUUAGUAAUGGUUCCCUUAGGCAAGGCAAAGGUGGAGAGUAAAAUAUUAAACUUAUCUCCCGAAAUCUGAGCCAGGGCAUGAAUAAACGGCCCUAAGGCUCGAACCCCACAUCUGGGUCACGGGGAAGUCGGGGGUGGGGGGGUCACAGCAGAGGCGUGGGAAGCUUGGCACAGCUUUUCUGUGUACAGUGAACUACUCAGCGCUCUCUCGGUCACCCCUCUCAUCACCCGUGGGCCUCCCGCCCACGUUGGGCAGCCGCUGGGUCGCCUGGUGUCCAGCUCCUUCCUCUUGAGUCUCCGUUCUGCAUCUUCCUGGCUUCUCCCCCGGCUUCCCCCGUCAGUCCUUUUCCCUCUUCCCGCCCAGGCCUGACGCCCCUGGCCCCUCCCUGUUCAGCGUCGCAUUAACCUGCAUUAACCCGCACACCUCAGGCCUGUCCUGUUUCUCGGCUGCGGCCUCUCUGUGUUAUUAAUAGGGCUGCAGAUGAGUUAUGGUGCGGAGCUUUUUUUUUUUUUUCCCCUAGAAAAAUUCCAGCCCAAGUUAUUUUUUCAGGCAAUGGGCUUUCAUUGAUUUUUCUCCCCCCCAGAUCAAUGAUUUUCUGCAGAAAAGCUCCCUGCUAUCCUGUGAAAUACGGGCCUGUGAGAGGGUUCCAGAGCCUCUGAGCUCUUCGGCUGCUGCACUCUGGCCCUCUCACCCACCCUCAUGCAUCCCCCACUGCCCACCCGCUGCACCCCCACACCCCCAGAACCGGCCUUGUCCCUCCCUUUCCAGGCCCUGGACCAGCGGGGUCGGGUCUGUGGGGAGUUUUUCUCCUCAGCCUCAGCACUGGCAAGGAAGUGGACUGGGUGCCUUCUUUGCUGCACUGCUUCCAGGACUUGCAGGGACCAGGGAGGCCAACACGUGCCCAGACUCCCUGGUAGCUGGGGUUCUGGGUGAAAACUGGGUUCUUUUGAUCAGAUGCCCAAUCCCCCCCCCCUUUUUUUUCUUGGCGGGAGGGGGCUUACCUGCAGCAUGUGAAAGUUCCUGGGCCAGGAACCAAACCUGCACCACAGCUAUAGCCAGAGCCACAGCAAAGGCAACGCUGGAUCCUUUAAGCCACUGAUGUGUAAGCGACAGGCUGAAUUUAAAGCAGGACAUGACACGCUAGCUAGCUGGCUAGUUCUCCCCGACCUUACACGGGGGCCGUGGGCUAUUUUCCAUGGGGAAUUGGAAAGAGGGGCUCCUGGAGGGAGGUCACUUUGAGUCCAGCUCUCGUAUUGAGCCCCUGUCCCUGCAAGGGGUCCCAGGACUUGGUUUUCAGGAGAGCAGGAUCUCAGGGGCCUCAGGGCCUUCCGUGUCCCUGCCUCUGUUUUCUGGUCCCUGGUCACCUCGGUGCUGCACACACAUCCAGGACAGUCCUGAGGUGGGGGCCUCCUGAUUCCCCACCUUCCUGCCCUGGGUCCUUGUUGAUGGGUUGGCCAUCCCUGGCUCUCUGGCCCAUUGUGUGCGGCCCGUCGAGUCAGUCUGUAAAGUCAUUCUCUGUGUUAUCCCCUGUCCCUUUAAAAUUAUCACAACCGCCGCCGAGAGUCUGCUAAGGACUAAACGUUUGUUUUCCCGACCAAAACUCUUGGGUCGAAAACCAACCUCAGAGUUCCCGCCAUGGUGCAGUGGAUGGGGUCGCUGUGGAGGUGCAGGUUCGAUCCCUGGCCUGGUGCAGUGGGUUAAAGGAUCCGGUUUUGGAGUUCCCGUUGUAGCUCAGUGGUUAAGGAAUCCGACUAGGAACCAUGAGAUUGCAGGUUCAAUCCCUGGCCUUGCUCAGUGGGUUAAGGACCCGGCGUUGCCGUGAGCUGUGGUGUAGGCCGCAGACGCGGCUCGGAUCCCACAUUGCUGUGGCUCUGGUGUAGGCUGGCAGCUACAGCUCCGAUUCGACCCCUAGCCUGGGAACCUCCAUGUGCCGCGGGAGCAGCUCUAGAAAAGGCAAAA